rnacentral:tRNA from 1 species
GGCUGUAGCACAGUGGCAGAGCGCUUGCCUCGCAUGCAUGACGCCCUGGGUUCAAUCGUCAGCAUGACA